CCGGAAACUGCAACUCCCAGGAUUCUGCGCGCUCUCCGCGGCUGGGCUUUCUGGCGGCGACUCCCGGGAAAAGCAAAUGGCAGAGGCGUCAGGGUCUCGGCACCGCUCUCUGUAUAAACUGGUGGGCUCGCCGCCUUGGAAGGCGGCUUUUAGGCAGGGAUGCCUGGAGAGAAUGAGAAACAGCCGGGACAGGCUCCUGAACAGAUAUCGCCAGACUGGAAGCAGUAUGUCAGGGGGAGCUCGAAAUAGCCUUCUGGUGCAGGAGGUGAUGGAAGAAGAGUGGAAUGCUUUGCAGUCGGCGAAGAGCUGGCCAGGAGCCUUGGCACAGUUGGAGGAGCCCAUGGAUCUGGCUGUGUUGGAGGAAAUCCAACAGGAGCUGAUUGAUCAAGGUGACCUUUGGGAAUAGUCCUUCCUGCCUAUAUGUCUAGCUGCUCUAAUGCGGACCUUCUUUCUAAACAGAAUGUUUUAAGAUUUUUAUCUUCAGUUGAGUGUCUAGAAGUCUGUGUUUUUACUCUAAAGUCUUGGCUGUCUGUCUUCCCAUUACUAAGAGUCUUCAGUGUUGCCAGGCUUUGAGCUCCUUUCACACUGUUGUUCUCUCCUUAUGACGACCCUACUGGGUAGUGUGAGACAGAGGGGAGUCGUCUCUUAGACAGGUUGCACAGCUGGUGGUGGAGUUGUGGAGCAAAAUCAAUUCUGUGAAUCCAGUUCCUGUGUUUAUUCUAUGGACAGUACCUCUCUGUUAGUAGAUUUUUGGUAAUCCUGUCACCUUACAGGGUCUGGCAUGGUGAGAUCUCCUGCACUGCCUGGUUCAAGUACCUUCUCUCGUCUGUUCUCUACUGAUGCCCCAGGGUCUUGUGAGCGUCCCCUUCCCGCAGCAUCACAGCACCAUAAGACUCAUAAUUUAGUGCCUUGUGUAACCAAGUCAUUUGUUGCACAUAGCCCUAGCUUAAUUAGGCUUAGUUUUCUUCAUCUGUUAAACAGAGCUGAUAGACCUGCCCUAUAAGUUUGUAGGCUAAGCUGAUAUGUAUAAGAGAUUAGAGCAGUGCCUGCCAUAUAGAGCUUUCUCUUUCUCUCUCUCUCUCUCUUUUUUUUUUUUUUUGUCUUUUUAGUGCCGCAUCCAUGGCAUAUGGAAGUUAACAGGGUAGGGGUGCCUGCUGGCCUAUGCCGCAGCCACAGCACAGGUCCAAGCCACGUCUGCGACCUAUACCACAGCUCAUGGCAAAGCCAGAUCCUUAACCCACGGAGUGAGGCCAGGGAUCGAACCUGAGUCCUCAUGGAUACGAGUUACCACUGAGCCACGAGGGAACUCCUAUAGAGCUUCCAAUAAACAAGAGCUAUUAUCAUGAGGAUGCCAGAGCAUGAACUCUUGGGCUAGACUGCUAAGAUUCACUUCUCCACUUUACCGUUUUAACUUGUGUGCUGCUGGACAAAGUACUUAACCUCCCUGUGCCUGUUUCUUCUUUUUUUUUUUGUCUUUUCUAGGGCUGCUCCCGCAGCGUAUGGAGAUUCCCAGGCUAGGGGUCCAAUCAGAGCUGUAGUCGCCGGUCUACACCACAGUCACAGCAAUGCAGGAUCCAAGCCGUGGCUGUGGCCUACACCACAGCUCAAGGCAAUGCCGAAUCGUUAACCCACUGAGCAAGGCCAGGGAUCGAACCUGCAACCUCAUGGUUCCUAGUCAGAUUCGUUAACCACUGCGCCACGACGAGAACUCCAGUUUCUUCAUCUUUAAAAUAAGGAUAAUAGUAAGGAAGAAGUUAAUAUAUGGAAAGGACUCAAAAUAGCAUUUCACACAUAUUAAGUGCUAUGUAAGUGUGUGCUGUUGUUGUGAUUGGUGCAUUGAUUCCACUUAAACUGAAGAAUCCCUGAUUUUAAUUUUUUUUUUUUUUUUUUGAUUGAUGUUCUCUUCACCCUCACCUGCAAAACCUUAGUGGUGAAACAUGGGACUCGCUAAAUAUUUCUCUUAGGGUAUAAAAAUCUGAAGUGAUGAAAAUUUGUUAUGUUCUGCCAUACUCAGUCAUAGGGAACCCUCUAGAAUGGGGGUUCCGUGAGGGAGAGUAAGUGUUUGGGCUGCUGCAGCUACUCACUUCUGCCCAUGUAGUGUGAGAACAGCCAUAGACCACAUGCAAACCAAAUGAACAUGGCUGUUCCAUUACAGCUUGGUUUAAAAAAAUGAAAGGUGUAAAAAAAAAUUUUUUUUUUAAAUUAAAAAUUAAAAAAAUGGAAGGUGACCUGGGUAUGGCCUGUAGCCUGUGCUUUGCUGACCCUGGCUCUGACGUGUAGACAGUGAACUCGUCAAGAGCCAGAACCGGCCUUUUUCAUCUUUGUACCCACGCCUCCCAAGUACGAGGUUUGUCCUGUGUUGGUUGAAUGAAGGAACACACACAUUCUGAGCAGCACAGACUCCGAAUGUGAACACUAAGGAACAGAUCACCUUGGAUUCAGCAGGGUGGGCCUGGCAUCAGGAGUAACCGUGUCAGUGUCAGCUGUCUCCAGCUGCCACUGGCACCCUGACACCCUCCAUCUCUGCUCCUGUAGCCCCCGGAGCUGUGGGGGAAAGUCGCCCUUUGUGUCUCAGCCUCUUGCUUCACAAGGAGACAGGCAGGGAGGGAUCCAAGAAGAUGAAGCCUGACGAGCAGUAAAUAUCUAAUGAUUGGUAGCGUGAUUCUUCCCGAAUUUGCCUCUUGUGUGGGGGAGCCUUUGAAGGUGAGGUUUUACAUUCAAGACAGGGUUGCCCAGAUGGUGGGCGGCAGAAACACCCCAGCUGAGCUUCGCCUUUUGCAGAACUAUCCAUCAUCAGCGAGUAUGAGAAGAGCUUGCAGUUUGAUGAAAAGUGUCUCAGCGUCAUGCUGGCCGAGUGGGAAGCAAACCCUCUCAUCUGUCCUGUGUGUACAAAGUAAGAGUUUUCAUAACCUUUUCAGCAUUGUUCGUCCCCACCCCCUACUCCAAGGUACAACCUGAGAAUAGCGAGCGGUGUGGUCCUGUGUCAGUGUGGCCUCUACAUCCAGUCUCAUUCUCCAGACUUGACAGAACAGAAGCUCCGUGCCUGUUUAGAAGACAGUGUCAACGAGCACAGUGCACAUUGUUCCCACACGCCAGAAUUCUCCGUCACGGAAGGGACAGAGGAAAAGUCCAGUCUUCUCAUGAGCUGUCUGGCUUGUGAUACUUGGGCCGUGAUCCUCUAGAGCCAGCAGUCUACUGGGUUGGAAAGUUCCAUCUUGAGAAGGGGCCUUAUAAAUACAAACCUUUUAUUAUUUAUCCUUUAUUUUGUAUUAAAGCUUUUCAAGUGUC